rnacentral:lncRNA from 1 species
GAGCACACCAACGCUCGCUAAUCAGGGAUCCUAAGAAGGGGGACUAUCAGCUUGCCUACCUGCACCUGCGGGCAUGGAACGCAGGCCCCGUGAAAUAGGGCGUCAGUACGAAAAAUAUACUGAGUAUGUAAGGCAUGAAAAUUAGUACGUAAAAGACAUAGAUGAAACAUAGAAUGCAGAAAUACCUUUAAAUCUGAAUAACUUUGUAAAUUCUGAAACGUUUAUUAUGUCAUGCACGUGCGUAUAAAUGUCGUGUCAUGCAUAGGUAUGGGUAUACAUAAUAUCAUCAAGCCAAUGGGGGAAUCCCAUCAUAUCGUCUCGGCCACUAUGGACACAUCAUCAACAUAUACCAGUUCAUCAGGUGGUGGUGUGUAUAUAACGCCGUAAUCUUUUCCCAUAUCCCAUAUACAUAUAUUUACAUAUAUACACGUAUAUAAUGCCAUCUGGUAAUAGGUCAAUGGACAUGUAUGAAAUGUAUGAAAAAUACGUAAUAAUCUCAAUAUUCCUUCCGGAUAAAUUUUUCCAACUGUGUAUUAUUCUGAGACCCAUGAACAGAAAAUAAUAAUAAUUUUCAUGGGGGGUCAAGAAUAUAGACACCCCUAAUAAUUCUAUGAAUAGAGUAAUUUAUGAAAACUGUGUGGUUUCUCGUUUCUUCAAUAUAAUUUGGAACAUACCAAGAGAAAGAAGGGAUGUCCUAAACAUACCUGGAGUAGGAACAACUCCGUAUAAUCAUCUCGUUGGAAACCUUUGUGGAUUGAACUUUGAACGCAAAAAUCAGAUUUAAGCUUCUGCUUCUUAAAUUGGAACGAAACUUUGCUAUGUUGGAUGAAAUGAUACUGCUCUCAAACGGGUUGGAUUGGAAUGGAAAUUUCGGACGAAAAUGACUCUGCUUCUAAUCGUCUUUGGUUUGAAAACCAAAGACAGAAUGUAUAGUCAUUUGCUAAGACUUAAAUUCA